rnacentral:lncRNA from 1 species
UGGAGGUACAAUAGAUACACAGAUUGGAGAAUGCAUGAGCAGAUACCUUGUCUCACCUCGCUACCUCAGGAUACUCUGACCUCAAUAGACGAGUAUUCAUCAAAAAUAUACAGAAACCAAGUAUUGAAGUAGAACCGGCUGUCUUGCAAGUCAGACAUGAGUUAAGCUAAAUGGAUCUUCUCAUCAACUAUUUUCUAGAUAGUAAUUUACUGGCCAACCCUAUCG